rnacentral:rRNA from 1 species
GUCUUCGGCCACGCCACCCUGAGCACACCCGAUCCCGUCUGAUCUCGGAAGCUAAGCAGGAUCGGGUCUGGUCAGUACUUGGAUGGGAGACCACGUAGGAAGACCAGAUGGUGCAGACA